rnacentral:rRNA from 1 species
AGUGAACGCUGGCGGUAGGCCUAACACUUGCAAGUCGAACGGCAGCACAGUAGGAGCUUGCUCUUACGGGUGGCGAGUGGCGGACGGGUGAGGAAUACAUCGGAAUCUACUUUUUCGUGGGGGAUAACGUAGGGAAACUUACGCUAAUACCGCAUACGACCUACGGGUGAAAGCAGGGGAUCUUCGGACCUUGCGCGAUUGAAUGAGCCGAUGUCGGAUUAGCUAGUUGGCGGGGUAAAGGCCCACCAAGGCGACGAUCCGUAGCUGGUCUGAGAGGAUGAUCAGCCACACUGGAACUGAGACACGGUCCAGACUCCUACGGGAGGCAGCAGUGGGGAAUAUUGGACAAUGGGCGCAAGCCUGAUCCAGCCAUACCGCGUGGGUGAAGAAGGCCUUCGGGUUGUAAAGCCCUUUUGUUGGGAAAGAAAAGCAGCAGGUUAAUACCCCGCUGUUCUGACGGUACCCAAAGAAUAAGCACCGGCUAACUUCGUG